rnacentral:tRNA from 1 species
GCGGGAAUAGCUCAGUUGGUAGAGCGCAACCUUGCCAAGGUUGAGGUCGCGAGUUCGAGUCUCGUUUCCCGCUCCC